CCUAGGGUCCGGGAUAACCCCGGGAAACCGGGGAUAAUACCGGAUAGAUCACCUAUGCUGGAAGGGCUUGGUGGUUUAAAGGCAACGCCUUUGGAUGGGUCUGCGGCGGAUUAGGUUGACGCCGGUGUAAUGUACCGGCGUGCCUGUAAUCCGUACGGGUUGUGGGAGCAAGAGCCCGGAGAUGGAUUCUGAGACACGAAUCCAGGCCCUACGGGGCGCAGCAGGCGCGAAAACUCUACAAUGCAGGAGACUGCGAUAGGGGGACAUCGAGUGGCAUCCACCUUGGGUGCCUGUCCAACCGUCUAAAAAACGGUUGUUAGCAAGGGCCGGGUAAGACCGGUGCCAGCCGCCGCGGUAAUACCGGCGGCUCGAGUGGUGGCCGAUAUUAUUGAGUCUAAAGGGUCCGUAGCCGGCUUUGCAAGUCCCCUGGGAAAUCCAGCGGCUUAACCGUUGGGCUUUCAUGGGAUACUACAUUGCUUGGGACUGGGAGAGGUAGGAGGUACUCGGGGGGUAGGGGUGAAAUCCUGUAAUCCUCCGGGGACCACCGGUGGCGAAGGUGUCCUACCAGAACAGGUCCGACGGUGAGGGACGAAAGCUAGGGGCACGAACCGGAUUAGAUACCCGGGUAGUCCUAGCCGUAAACGAUGCCCGCUAGGUGUCACGACAGUCGUGAAUUGUCGUGGUGCCGUAGGGAAGCCGCGAAGCGGGCCACUUGGGAAGUACGACCGCAAGGUUGAAACUUAACCCUUAAC
rnacentral:rRNA from 1 species